rnacentral:rRNA from 1 species
GGAGUUAGCCGGUGCUUCUUCUGUGAGUGAUGUCCUUCCUGCCGGUUAUUGACCCGCAGGCCUUCUUCCUCACUGAAAGUGCUUUACAACCCGAAGGCCUUCUUCACACACGCGGCAUGGCUGGAUCAGGGUUGCCCCCAUUGUCCAAUAUUCCCCACUGCUGCCUCCCGUAGGAGUCUGGGCCGUGUCUCAGUCCCAGUGUGGCUGAUCAUCCUCUCAGACCAGCUACGGAUCGUCGCCUUGGUGAGCCGUUACCUCACCAACCAGCUAAUCCGACAUAGGCUCAUCCGAUAGCGCGAGGCCCGAAGGUCCCCCGCUUUCCCCCGUAGGGCGUAUGCGGUAUUAGCCUGGGUUUCCCCAGGUUAUCCCCCACUACCGGGCAGAUUCCUAUGCAUUACUCACCCGUCCGCCGCUCGCCACCAGGGAGCAAGCUCCCCGUGCUGCCGCUCGACUUGCAUGUGUUAGGCCUGCCGCCAGCGUUCAAUCUGAGCCAUGAUCAAAACUCUGA